UACGGGGGGUGCGAGCGUUGUCCGGAAUCACUGGGCAUAAAGGGCGCGUAGGCGGCUUUUCAAGUCAGGGGUGAAAUCCGGCAGCUUAACUGUCGAAGUGCCUUUGAUACUGGGAAGCUCGAGGGAGGUAGGGGUGUGUGGAACUUCCGGUGGAGCGGUGAAAUGCGUUGAUAUCGGAAGGAACGCCGGUGGCGAAAGCGACGCACUGGACCUCUUCUGACGCUGAGGCGCGAAAGCCAGGGGAGCAAACGGG
rnacentral:rRNA from 1 species